rnacentral:rRNA from 1 species
UGGGGAAUCUUGGACAAUGGGCGCAAGCCUGAUCCAGCCAUGCCGCGUGAGUGAUGAAGGCCUUAGGGUUGUAAAGCUCUUUUUGCCGGGGACGAUAAUGACGGUACCCGGAGAAUAAGUCCCGGCUAACUUCGUGCCAGCAGCCGCGGUAAUACGAAGGGGACUAGCGUUGUUCGGAAUCACUGGGCGUAAAGCGCACGUAGGCGGAUAGUUAAGUCAGGGGUGAAAUCCUGGGGCUCAACCCCAGAACUGCCUUUGAUACUGGCUGUCUCGAGGUCGAGAGAGGUUGGUGGAAUUCCUAGUGUAGAGGUGAAAUUCGUAGAUAUUAGGAAGAACACCAGUGGCGAAGGCGGCCAACUGGCUCGAUACUGACGCUGAGGUGCGAAAGCGUGGGGAGCAAACAGGAUUAGAUACCCGAGUAGUCCCUGAGCGGGCUGGCAAGGCGCAU